rnacentral:rRNA from 1 species
AUUGAACGCUGGCGGCAUGCUUUACACAUGCAAGUCGAACGGCAGCGCGGGCUUCGGCCUGGCGGCGAGUGGCGAACGGGUGAGUAAUGCAUCGGAACGUGCCCAGUAGUUGGGGAUAGCCCGGCGAAAGCCGGAUUAAUACCGCAUACGACCUGAGGGUGAAAGCGGGGGACCGAAAGGCCUCGCGCUAUUGGAGCGGCCGAUGUCGGAUUAGCUAGUUGGUGGGGUAAAGGCUUACCAAGGCGACGAUCCGUAGCGGGUCUGAGAGGACGACCAGCCACACUGGGACUGAGACACGGCCCAGACUCCUACGAGAGGCAGCAGUGGGGAAUUUUGGACAAUGGGGGCAACCCUGAUCCAGCCAGGCCGCGGGCGGAAGAAGGCCUUCGGGUUGUAAACCGCUUUUGUUCGGGAAGAAAUCCUCUGGGCUAAUACCCCGGGGGGAUGACGGUACCGGAAGAAUAAGCACCGGCUAACUACGUG